rnacentral:rRNA from 1 species
UACGGAGGGUGCAAGCGUUAAUCGGAAUUACUGGGCGUAAAGCGCACGUAGGUGGUUUGUUAAGUCGGAUGUGAAAGCCCCGGGCUCAACCUGGGAAUUGCAUUCGAUACUGGCAGACUAGAGUCUGGUAGAGGGUGGUGGAAUUCCAGGUGUAGCGGUGAAAUGCGUAGAUAUCUGGAGGAACAUCAGUGGCGAAGGCGGCCACCUGGACCAAGACUGACGCUGAGGUGCGAAAGCGUGGGGAGCAAACAGG